UGCACGCAUUUCCUUUUCUGUGUGUGCUCUGUUUGAUAAGGAUCAGAAUAUGUGGAGCAAUUCAAAUGACCAUGGAUCUUGAUAACAGGAAGGCUUGGAGCUAUGCUGGCAUGAACAAAAAAUACCCCGAAGGCAGAGAGGAAAAGAGUGCCACUGCGUGGAGAGUCCAAGAAAGAGGGUGAGGGGAGGAGAGACCGCAAACGCCAGACCUCCUGAAACUCGUCUCCUUUGACUUUUCUCUUUUUUCUUUUCCUGGGACAGGCAUUGCUCUUUUGAAAUCGUGCCAACGAAGGCUGGCUCAAAUCCUUGCAACUGAAAGUUUUACAAGCUCAGUGCUCACAAACAGGAAGAGAAAGACACCGAGAGAUUAGCAAAAGGGAGAUUGUUGCUGCUGUCUUCUUGUCUUUACUCAGAAAAGUCAUUCAUACUUUUUUUUUUUGCAAAUAUCAGUGAAGUAAAUUCUUGGAAGGAGGACUGCACAGAAUGAGAAAGGAUUAAAAAAAAACAAACAUGCAAAGCAGAAUCAGCCUAAAGGACAAAGAGUUGUGACGUCACACACAAAGCUGUCUUGGAUAUUGCCUGAUAAAAGAUACUGAUGUUUUCUAAUAAGGCUGAAACUAUUAUUUAAGUUACUUUUAUUUUCUGGGAUUUGUUCUUUUUCAGAGCUCAACCCUGAUUCAUGCCCUAUUUUUUCUUUCUUUUUGCUUUAGAUUUUUUAGAGUCCUAAGAUCCGAUUUGUUGCCUUAGUGUAUUUAGCAGUAAAAAAUUUCCUGUUGUGUUGACAUUGGACACUAGUUUACUACCAAAAAUACUGUCAGACUAAUGAAUCUCAGUGCUGACCAUUCUCCUUUCUCUUUUCUGUAAAAAGUCUGCAUAAAAAAAACAAAGGCAGGUGCAGACCAACUGAAGACGUCUGGAGCAACCACUGAAAAUGGGAACUGUGAGGCAUGUACUACCUGGGAAUGAUGCCAGCUGCUGACAAAAGGCUUUACUGCACGGCUCUGAGACAAGACUUUAACUCACUCGCUUCAGGACAACUCAGCACCAAACUGUUUGGCCAGCUACAGAUAAAUCUUUCAACCCUUUUAGCUUUGUUACCAGACAGCAAGUAAGUACUCAUUUCUAAUUUCUUUAGUAAAUAGCUAAAUAGCUUUUAAAUUACUUUUUCUCCUUCAGUCAAGUGGGAUGUCUAUUCGACGACACAUAAUCUACAUCGCACAUGACUGCUGCACUUAUGAGUUUAAUCAGCCAACUGUAGCUCUGUGUCAAAGCUAAAUUCUCUCUAUACUUACAGCAUAAUCAGCGUUCUUUGUGAUUUGUGGGAUGUGUGGAAACGAGAUUUUCUAACUUAGUGAUUUCUUUUCCUGCCUUCUUUUCUGUGCUUCUUGGCAAUCAUGUAAAAGUGGGCAGGGAGAGAGGAGGGCAUGGCCCAAAAGCUGCUCUCAAGCCCCAGCCCCUGUUCGAGUGGGGUUGCACACUUACACACUGCUCAGCCUUUCCCUCAUUCCUCAGGCGAAAGAAAGAGGUGUGGAAUAGCAUUCUUUUCUUCUUUUUCAACCAACGUUUUUUGUUUUUUCCCUCAUCAACACCUUGUCCUUAUUGGCAGUGUGUGACCGCUAGCCUGAUAUUGACAUAAAAAGACAUCAGGUUCAAAUGCCAGAUUUCCACACCUACCUGAAACAUUAUCUGUCCUUAAGGCUGAGGUAGUAGAUUGAAUAGUUGUGGGGUUCACGUCCUCCUUUUGAGAUAACUAUACAAUCUACUGUCUUUCCAAAGGAAACAGAAUAAGCCUCGGUUCAAGCCAAGACUUCAUGCACUUUAGAAGCUUCUUCAGUUAAGGAACUCAGAAAAGAAAUAAACGCUCAACUUAAAGGCACUUAAAGGCUCCUCUGAAGACACAUGCAGGCACAGGAUUGUCAUUACCCAGCUGCUGCAAGAAGUUUAUUUAAAAAGACAUCAUUUUUAAUAUUUGAGCAAGAAAACAUUUUUUAAAGAACAUAAAUACAUACUUGAAGUUGAGCCUAGCAAGGUGAGGUAGUAGGUUGUAUAGUUUGUGGGAUGGAGCAAAUCCUACUCAGGUGAUAACUAUACAGUCUAUUACCUUCCUUGAAAGGUACAAUGAGUGCUUGGAAUCCCUCUCACUGGCUUAUAGACAUAGUCUCUAUCGCCACUGUGUGGCCAAAAACGAAUAAAUGGUUACACUCUGAAAUAUGGAUAUAUUUGAAGUUUUAAAGCCAGAUGCAUGAAAGUUUUAAAUAUAAAUUUAUAAUUAAAUGUAUUUUGUGAGAAUGUGUAGCAUUAAAAAAAGAAACAAUGAUUGCUGAUUUUCAAUAUGGUUUGAUUUUCUUUUUAUAAGAUAUUAAAAUCCAUAGAUAUUGAAUUUAAAGAAAUGUAUACUUUGUGUUAGUAACAGUCACGACCUUGGUGUAAAAAAAAAUAACCACACUGUAACAUUAACUACUGAGGCAAGAGAAACAAAUUUUAGUCUCUACUCCCUUGGUCAUGUAUUUUGAAUAAAAAUGCAAAAAC